UCCCUAGUGGCCCAGUGCUAAAGAAUCUGCCUGGAAUGCAGGAGACCCGGGUUCGAUCCCUGGGUUGGGAA
rnacentral:tRNA from 1 species